CGCUAAUCUAUUACGAUGUGUAUAAUCAAACAACUUUCUCAAUUCCUUCGGUCUUUCUGUGUACGUUUAGAUGUGUACGAUUUUCUUCAUUGUUUAUUUAUUCAACUUCUAGAUAUUUUAUAGUUUCGUGGUCUGUUAUCUCUUAAGUACAGAUUUAUGGUUACCACAGUCGACAUAACAUCGUGUGUAUGAAAUAUUUCGUUUUUUAGUAUAUUCUUAUAGAUAAUAACUUGUACGUGAUAAAUAACAAAUGAUGUAUCGAAAGGAAGAUGAAAAUACAUCGGAGCUACUUAUGGGAUUAAUUAAAAGAAGAAAAAUGAGAACAAGAAAAACAGUUAAACGUUUCGAUUAAAUCGCUUGUGUGAAGAAAGAAAAGGAAGAACCGAUUGAAAUUAAAUGACACGGAUGAACCACUAAACAAAAGUAUGAAGACGAUUUUUAUUCAAAAGUAGUCUAAUUAGAAUUUUAUUGAGAUUAUUUCUUAUUUUCAUUUUAUAAAUGUGCUUUUCGAGAUGCAUCGUGGAAGAAUUAUUAUUGUCCUUUUUUUUUUUUAACAAAGUUAAAAAACGUAUUUCGUUCUGCGAAAG